CUGGCCUCCAUUUGGCUGACAUGGCCUUAAAAGAACUCUGGCAGGGGAUCACGUCAUGCACGGAGACCUGACGUCGAACCGUGGCUGUAGCUACGAGCUGCCUGUUAGCGCAGUUAGCUGUGCAUCUAGUGGCCCUCAGCUGACUGGGGUCUCUGCAAACCAGGAGCUUGGAGCGGUGGGGGAGUGUCGGUGUUACAAUGCCAGCAGCCUCCGUCUUUGCUGGACUUCAGCCCAGUGUGUCGGUGGCUGACGGGCUGCUGAACACACCGUUCCUGGUGUAGAAGGUGUUCUUCACCACCGACGACUUGGCACGAGAUGGAGUUCUGUAAUCCAGAGUGUAGUCACCUGUAGGUCCGGGGCAGACCACAUUAAUGCAGAGUAAAACAACGACAGAGAGGAUGUGAUGAUGGCUGUGGUUUGGAUAAGAAGUGGAUGUCCUGCCAGGAAACAUGGUUGAACUCACCCAGCCUCCACCCGUACUCCCAGGACGAGAGCAGAGGGAAGUCAAACUUCUCCUCUGGUCUCAUCUGACCUCGUCUCUGCAGGUACUGUCGUCGUCCUUUCCCCUGCAGAGGACGUCUUGCUCAAAAUGACUUUGAAUAUAUGAUGUUUAAAGUAAAAAACAUGUAAUGACUGA